rnacentral:rRNA from 1 species
GAGUUUUGAUCAUGGCUCAGGAUGAACGCUAGCUACAGGCUUAACACAUGCAAGUCGAGGGGCAGCAUGGUCUUAGCUUGCUAAGGCCGAUUGGCGACCGGCGCACGGGUGAGUAACACGUAUCCAACCUGCCGUCUACUCUUGGACAGCCUUCUGAAAGGAAGAUUAAUACAAGAUGGCAUCAUGAGUCCGCAUGUUCACAUGAUUAAAGGUAUUCCGGUAGACGAUGGGGAUGCGUUCCAUUAGAUAGUAGGCGGGGUAACGGCCCACCUAGUCUUCGAUGGAUAGGGGUUCUGAGAGGAACGGUCCCCCACAUUGGAACUGAGACACGGUACCAAACUCCUACGGGAGGCAGCA